UUAUGAGUAUGAUGCUUCCAUAAUACAUUUGGAUGUUUUCAGCUAAGUUCACGUCUGAACUAUGGGGUUCCUCCAAGUGUUGACUGAAAUUUGUCCUUGAGCAUCCCCUCGCUCAUCUAAUCUACAGUCCAUAAUGGAGCCACUGUACUGGCUUUUGGAAGGAGGAGAUUCUGAAGAUAGGGAGAUUCAGCAAUCAGUCUUUGAAAUUUCCUGUGGUCUGUUCAAUCUAGAUGCAAAGGACAUGGAAAAAUCAAGUGCUCAAGUGGUUUAAAUAUGUUUUGGAUAUUCUUACUUAUAGAUUACAGGAUUUUUCCAAUUAAAUCCACAGUUGUCAUGCAGAAGGAGGUUAUGCCCUUCUUGAUCACCAAUUUUAUUUGAAAUGCUUAGUGUUAUAGUAUGUUACUGAAUGCUGUUUUAAUCAAAGUAUAGAAAAAAUAAAAUCAAUUUUAUAUGUUGACUUUUUUUCUAAAAUGACUUUAUUGGACUGAACGAAUGUUUAUACGUGAAAAAGAGGGUUCCCUCCUGAGAAAAAUCCCUUUCUCCAUUAUAGCAAUUCUUCUGGCAAUCUGAUAUCAUUAGAAUAGAUUUAAAAUUUAAUGCGACCCUAUUAUAUUUAUGGAAGAAGAAAGACUUAAAAGGUAUCCAUAUAUAUAAUUUUAAUUCUCUAUAAUAGUCCCUCUGGAAUGGAACAUUUUCUUUUCAAAAAAUCUAUUAGCUCAACUCAGGUAUGAGGGAAAAAUCAUCUCAACUGGCAGAGCAUUUGUUACGUGUUUAAAUAUUUGGUUUAUAUAAAGAAGGUUGACAUCCAGUCUUCCACAGAGUUCUUGUAUUUGGGCAGACUGAAUAAUGAGGGGUUGCCUUGUCAUUGGGAAAUUCCUUGUUGUGGCCUUUGUGGUGGCUGAAGGAAAACGGAAGUAUUCCUCUGUGGCAGGCAGGCCUCUGGCUUCUGUGGUGUGAACACUGUCAAGGGGUAUGUCUGACCAGAGGUAGCCCUUAGUGAGGGGACUGGAGAGAUGCACAGAUGCUGAUGACACCUGAAGAAGUAGUGGUGAGUGACUGUUUUGUACAUGACCUAGUUUGUACUUCAUCCACUUCUAUAGUUUUCACAAAGUGCUAUGAUAAAUUCUUAAGCUCAGAUCUCCGUACAGCAAAGUGAGUUUUUUAGGCUAGAAUAUUUUUUGUUUUUAGUUAAACUUUAUAUUUUGAGAUAAUUACAGAUUUCACAUGCAGUUUUACUAAAUAAUGGAGAGGUCCUUUGUACCUUUAGUUAGUAAGUUUCCCCUCUGUAGGGAAAGUAUCACAACCUGGAUGUUGGUGUCAUUACAGCUCAGAUACAGAACUUCCAUCACCAGAAGGAUUCCUCACUCUGCCCUUUUAUAGUCAUACAUGCUUCUCUCCUGGUCCUCUCCUUUUAUCUUAGCAAUCACUAGGCUGUUCUCCUUUCCUAUAAUCUUUUUUUUCUUUUCAAGGAUGUUCUAUAAAUGGAAUCAUAGAGUAUAUAACUUCUUGGGAUUGACUUUUCUUACUCAGCACAAUUUUCUGGAGAUUCAACUUGCAUGUAUCAAUAUUCUGUUCUUUUUAUGGUUGGGUAAUAUCCCAGGGUAUGGUUGCCCCACAGUUUGUUUAACCAUUGUACCAGUUGAGACUUCAGUGUUGUUUCUGGUUUUUCACUAUUAUGAAUAAAACUGCUGUAAACAUG